GUGCCAGCAGCCGCGGUAAUACGUAGGGUGCGAGCGUUAAUCGGAAUUACUGGGCGUAAAGCGUGCGCAGGCGGUCUCGCAAGCUGGGUGUGAAAUCCCCGGGCUCAACCUGGGAAUGGCAUUCAGGACUGCGAGGCCCGAGUGCGGCAGAGGGAGGUGGAAUUCCACGUGUAGCAGUGAAAUGCGUAGAGAUGUGGAGGAACACCGAUGGCGAAGGCAGCCUCCUGGGCCGACACUGACGCUCAUGCACGAAAGCGUGGGGAGCAAACAGGAUUAAUACCCUCGUAGUCC
rnacentral:rRNA from 1 species